rnacentral:rRNA from 1 species
GACGAACGCUGGCGGCGUGCCUAAUACAUGCAAGUCGAACGAAGCUGUUUUAACUGGUGCUUGCACCGACUUAAACAACUGAGUGGCGAACGGGUGAGUAACACGUGGGUAACCUGCCCCAAAGCGGGGGAUAACAUUUGGAAACAGAUGCUAAUACCGCAUUAUCACAGAAACCACAUGGUUUCUGCUUCAAAGAUGGUUUCGGCUCUCACUUUGGGAUGGACCCGCGGCGUAUUAGCUAGUUGGUAAGGUAAUGGCUUACCAAGGCAAUGAUACGUAGCCGAACUGAGAGGUUGAUCGGCCACAUUGGGACUGAGACACGGCCCAAACUCCUACGGGAGGCAGCAGUAGGGAAUCUUCCACAAUGGACGAAAGUCUGAUGGAGCAACGCCGCGUGAGUGAAGAAGGUUUUCGGAUCGUAAAACUCUGUUGUCAGAGAAGAACGUGUGCGAGAGUAACUGUUCGUGCAGUGACGGUAUCUGGCCAGAAAGCCACGGCUAACUACGUGCCAGCCGCCGCCGUAA